rnacentral:rRNA from 1 species
CCUACGGGUGGCAGCAGUGGGGAAUAUUGCGCAAUGGACGCAACCCUGACGCAGCAACGCCGCGUGAUGGAAGAAGGCCUUCGGGUUUGUAAGCUCUUUUUUCGGGGACGAAUUUUGACGGUACCCGAAGAGUAAGCUCCUACUAUCUACAUGCCAGCAGCCGCGGUAAGACGUAGGGACCAAGCGUUAUCCGGAUUUACUGGGUUUAAAGGGAUCGUAGACGGUCAGAGAAGUCUGAAGUGAAAGCCCGGGGCUCAACCGCGGGAUUGCUUUUGAAACUGCCUGACUGGAGUGCUGGAGAGGUAGGCGGAAUGCGUGGUGUAGCGGUGAAAUGCGUAGAUAUUAGGAAGAACACCGGUGGCGAAGGCAGCUUACUGGACAGUAACUGACGUUGAGGCUCGAAAGCGUGGGGAGCAAACAGGAUUAGAUACCCGAGUAGUC